CGGGGCCAGGGCAGGUACGAAGAUGUCAGCCAAGUCCAGGAUGGAGGACUGUGGAGGGGAGAGGCAGCGGCGGCUCAGAAGUGGGCGGGGCCUGGAGGGAGGGCAGGCCCUGACCUGUCAGGCUAAUGCCAGUUCAUUCUCUUUAUUCAUUCCACAGAUACCUAUUCAUGAUCCCUCACCUCUGCACAGUGCUUUACAGUUUAUAAUGUUUCUUCAUCCACAGAGUACCUGAUUUUCAUAACAACCCUGUGAGGCUCUCUGUCCCGCUGACGGUGGACCAUGGCCCCUGCACCAUUGGCCAUGGGGGAGCCAUCACCCCGCCAGGACCUCACCUCCUGCAGAAGGCACAGAAAGAGUUAGGAGCAUGAGCAGGUCAGGCGGGAAUCCGGGGACCUGUGCACCGGAGGCUGGAGUCGAGAGAGUGCAGGGUGGGAGGCAGCUGAGAGGUUAGGAGCAGCAGGGCCACCGGGUACAGCGGGAGGAGCCUGUUAGUGCCCUGAAGCACCUCCACCAGCAGCAGCAGCAGCACCGGCAGCCCAGCGGGCUCGGCCCACUACCUUCUCGUGCUCCUGCCGGCUCAGGCGCAGAGCCAGCUGCAGCUGCAGGUCCUCGUCCCUGUGGGAGGCUGGGGGGACAGGCUGCGGAGGAAGAGAGGGGUAAACUUGGCCCUGUACCCCCACCUUGGGACCAGAAGGGCAGUAUAGGCCUGCCUGGGUCAUGGGGAUGGAGACACUAAUGCCCACCCUCAGUGUGCAUGGGCCAUUUGCCCCUUAGUCGGCAGGGUGGGCGUGGCCUUCUCCCUGCCUGCAUCUGAAAUGCAGUUUAAAGGUCAGGAAGACUGAUCUUUCGCUUCUGAAUCCUCUGAGAGUUCCUCAGGCCCUCCUGUCUGAGGCCCAGCUGCUUCCUGCCUGGUCUUCCUGGAUCCACAGAGGUAACGGCAAAGAUGAUGAUAUCGGGGGCCUGUCCUUGUCUCCCCAAAAGGAUAGCUGGUGGGCGGGGGCGGGAAGCAUAUCCCAGUGUCUCCUAGGAAUAUGUCUGAGCACACUCACCCACUCCACCAUGAGGUGGUAGCAGGCACCCCAAGACAUAGCAUGUGC
rnacentral:lncRNA from 1 species